CUCUCAGAAAACUCUCCGCCUCCCCCUCACAGAAAACCCUAAUAAAAUUCUCUCUCACUUUCUCUCUUACUUUCUAUCUUGUCCUCUUUGCCUCUUCCUUAACCAUAUCGUUAUCUUAUCUUUGUUUCACUUUCAGCUUCCUCUAUCAUCGUUGCAUCAUCAUCUACUCAUCUUCAUCUCAGAUUUGUUCUCAUUGAGUAGUUUUGAUGCUUCUAAAGUUUUUGACCUGGACAGUGAAAUGAACUAUACAAAGGCGAUAUUGAAGUGAUGAGAGCUAACAAGUCCAACACUAUGUUCAUCGAUUUCGAGUUUGCUAUCAGAUUCAACGAUCUUCUUCAGAAAGCUAUCUCUGAUGAAUAUUUGAGGUUUAACCUUAUUUGCAGAAUGCCUGCAAGAGGUUUGAUAACCCUAACAAGGACAAGUACAACAGUAUAUAGCCUUCUAUAACAUUCCAGAUUGUUCAUGUUCAGCAGUUUUUGGCUACUGAAGAGGCACUAAACAGUGCUGCAGCAGUAAGAAACUUGUGUGAAAAACCAGUUGUAUACUUGUGGGCAAAAACAGCUGCAUGGAGGCACUGAUGUUACUUCAUGUUAAUACACAUUUUAUGAUCUUGUGAGAGGUAUUGCUGGCAUGAAUGAGUUGUGGAGAAAAUAUGGCCAGAACACAUUUAUCUCACAAUAUGACUAAUUCAAUGUUGCAUGUUGCUAUAUUUUAUAAUGAUAUUAUAAAAUUUGUAACAAUAUGGCUUCUAGAAGGACCCUGUUGGAUGAUUCAAA